rnacentral:rRNA from 1 species
CGGCAACAGCUCAAAUUUGAAAUCUGGCCCUCGCGGUCCGAGUUGUAAUUUGUAGAGGAUGCUUUUGGUUAGGUGCCUUCCGAGUGCCCUGGAACGGGACGCCAUAGAGGGUGAGAGCCCCGUCUGGUUGGACACCGAGCCUCUGUAAAGCUCCUUCGACGAGUCGAGUAGUUUGGGAAUGCUGCUCUAAAUGGGAGGUAUAUGUCUUCUAAAGCUAAAUAUUGGCCAGAGACCGAUAGCGCACAAGUAGAGUGAUCGAAAGAUGAAAAGCACUUUGAAAAGAGGGUUAAAAAGUACGUGAAAUUGUUGAAAGGGAAGCGCUUGUGACCAGACUUGGGCCCGGUCAAUCAUCCAGGGUUCUCCCUGGUGCACUUGGCCGGCCCAGGCCAGCAUCAGUUCGUCGCGGGGGAUAAAGACGUCGGGAAUGUGGCUCCCCCGGGAGUGUUAUAGCCCUUCGUGUAAUACCCUGCUUUGGACUGAGGUUCGCGCAUCUUGCAAGGAUGCUGGCGUAAUGGUCAUCAGCGACCCGUCUUGAAACACGGACCAAGGAGUCGUCUUCGUAUGCGAGUGUUCGGGUGUCAAACCCCUACGCGUAAUGAAAGUGAACGCAGGUGAGAGCUUCGGCGCAUCAUCGACCGAUCCUGAUGUUCUCGGAUGGAUUUGAGUAAGAGCAUACGGGGCCGGACCCGAAAGAAGGUGAACUAUGCCUGUAUAGGGUGAAGCCAGAGGAAACUCUGGUGGAGGCUCGCAGCGGUUCUGACGUGCAAAUCGAUCGUCAAAUAUGGGCAUGGGGGCGAA